rnacentral:rRNA from 1 species
GGUGCGGCGUACCUAAUACAUGCAGUCGAGCGAAUGGAUUAAGAGCUUGCUCUUAUGAAGUUAGCGGCGGACGGGUGAGUAACACGUGGGUAACCUGCCCAUAAGACUGGGAUAACUCCGGGAAACCGGGGCUAAUACCGGAUAACAUUUUGAACCGCAUGGUUCGAAAUUGAAAGGCGGCUUCGGCUGUCACUUAUGGAUGGACCCGCGUCGCAUUAGCUAGUUGGUGAGGUAACGGCUCACCAAGGCAACGAUGCGUAGCCGACCUGAGAGGGUGAUCGGCCACACUGGGACUGAGACACGGCCCAGACUCCUACGGGAGGCAGCAGUAGGGAAUCUUCCGCAAUGGACGAAAGUCUGACGGAGCAACGCCGCGUGAGUGAUGAAGGCUUUCGGGUCGUAAAACUCUGUUGUUAGGGAAGAACAAGUGCUAGUUGAAUAAGCUGGCACCUUGACGGUACCUAACCAGAAAGCCACGGCUAACUACGUGCCAGCAGCCGCGGUAAUACGUAGGUGGCAAGCGUUAUCCGGAAUUAUUGGGCGUAAAGCGCGCGCAGGUGGUUUCUUAAGUCUGAUGUGAAAGCCCACGGCUCAACCGUGGAGGGUCAUUGGAAACUGGGAGACUUGAGUGCAGAAGAGGAAAGUGGAAUUCCAUGUGUAGCGGUGAAAUGCGUAGAGAUAUGGAGGAACACCAGUGGCGAAGGCGACUUUCUGGUCUGUAACUGACACUGAGGCGCGAAAGCGUGGGGAGCAAACAGGAUUAG